rnacentral:rRNA from 1 species
GCUUAGUAAUAAACUAAAAUAAUUUAACAAACAAAAUUAUUCGCCAGAGAACUACUAGCAAUUGCUUAAAACUCAAAGGACUUGGCGGUGCCCUAAACCCACCUAGAGGAGCCUGUUCUAUAAUCGAUAAACCCCGAUAAACCAGACCUUAUCUUGCCAAUACAGCCUAUAUACCGCCAUCGUCAGCUAACCUUUAAAAAGAAUUACAGUAAGCAAAAUCAUACAACAUAAAAACGUUAGGUCAAGGUGUAGCAUAUGAUAAGGAAAGUAAUGGGCUACAUUCUCUACUAUAGAGUAUAACGAAUCAUAUUAUGAAACUAAAAUGCUUGAAGGAGGAUUUAGUAGUAAAUUAAGAAUAGAGAGCUUAAUUGAAUUAGGCAAUAGGGCGCGC